rnacentral:rRNA from 1 species
AACGAACGCUGGCGGCAUGCCUAACACAUGCCAGUCGAACGAGACCUUCGGGUCUAGUGGCGCACGGGUGCGUAACGCGUGGGAACCUGCCCUUAGGUUCGGAAUAACUCCCCGAAAGGGGUGCUAAUACCGGAUAAUGUCUUCGGACCAAAGAUUUAUCGCCUUUGGAUGGGCCCGCGUUGGAUUAGCUAGUUGGUAGGGUAAAAGCCUACCAAGGCGACGAUCCAUAGCUGGUCUGAGAGGAUGAUCAGCCACACUGGGACUGAGACACGGCCCAGACUCCUACGGGAGGCAGCAGUGGGGAAUAUUGGACAGUGGGCGGAAGCCUGAUCCAGCAAUGCCGCGUGAGUGAUGAAGGCCUUAGGGUUGUAAAGCUCUUUUACCCGGGAUGAUAAUGACAGUACCGGGAGAAUAAGCUCCGGCUAACUCCGUG